UGUGAUUAUUGGGUCAGUUCUGAGGGACUUCAGCUGUUGUGGGUGAAUCAGGCUGGUGUUGAUCUGACGACAGACUCCAGAUAUCAGAUAUUAUUCUCAUCAUAUCACUGUAUCAUCACUCUGACUACAACACUCCUGAAUGAAGAUGACAACAGAGAGUGGAGAUGUCAGCUUACCCUCAGAAAUCAACUCAAGACCUCAGUCAGAUUCACUGUCAAGUAUUCAGCUCAGGAUGUGCAUGAAUCUACAGUCAGAGUCGCAGUGAUUUCUGUCGCUGCAGUCGCUGUUUUCCUUCUUGCUGUUCUCUGGCUGAUCUGCAGAAAAACAGCUGAUAGUAAAAGAGGGACAGUCGACUCUGCGGUCAAAGAUGAGAAUGAACAUAAAGGGACGUAUGAGACGAUCAACACGUCCAUUCCUCCUGCUGCCAGAGCCAAUGAGCAGACAGAUGAUCAUGUGACUUAUUCUGAGGUCACUUCCUCCAAUAAAAAGCCAGUAAAAUCAGUGGAUGAUCAUAAUGAUACAGUGACUUAUGCUGCCAUCAGAUGAACAGAAGAUGAACCGCAGGAUGAACUUUAUUCUCUGUCAACAAGAAGAAGACCUUCACAAAUAAACAUUAAUGACACAGAUCAUGAGCUCAUCAUAUCAGGAGCAGACGGGACGUUUUCAUCUCUCUGGUGUUUGGAGGAAUUAACUGUUCAUUCAGAUAUUUGCUGAAUAUACAAUCAUUUCAAAAGUAAAGUAUGGUAAUGUUUCCUAAAUUUUUAACCCAGUGCAGCACAAACUAUUCUUUCUUUAUAAGUCCUCUAGUCAGGAAUUACUUUUUUUUUUUUUUUUUUAAACAGUCUGUGUCAAUGCAAAAUAAUUUGGAUUUUAAAGCCAAUCAUGGCAUUGGUCUGUGCAUUUAUGCCCUAAAAGAAAUAGUAAAUAAGUAUAGAGAUAAACAAUAGUCAGUUCUUGAGUGUUUUACGGAUCAUCCAGAGAUUUUGAUCAUAAAAAGUUAUUUCUUAAAAUUGAACAACAAGGGGUGUAUGAAUACAUUGUGAGAAUUUUGUCCUAUUGAUAUGCCCACCAGUCACUGCAAGUAAAAUUGUUCAGCACAUAAAGAUGAACUUCUUAUCAUGAUCUCAGACUGUGGUGAUGUGGUUUCUCCAUUGCAUGGAUCUUCAUGUGACUUUUAAUAGAGAAACUCUUUCCACACUGAUCACACGUGUGCGGCUUCUUCUUCAGCUUUAAGUGUCAAUUUACAGCAGAUCUGAAGACAUCAGCAUAAUAAAUGAGGGGGAAACAGGAACUAUUGACAUGAAAUAAAGAGUGUUUUCAGCAGUUUCUCUGUUAAUAUUGAUGAUCCUCAGACUAUCAACACUCAUUCAACAAGACAUUCAAAAGUUGAACUCAGUAAUGACUGUUGUCUGAGAACAAUGAAAAUCAUUUUGACAUUAAUUUGCAUUACUGGAUUGCACCGUGUUUUGCUUAAAAUUGUUCUUGUCAAACUCAGCUUCGCCAGCAGGGGGCACCCAAGCUUUACACUACGCAUCAGUAGCUUACUAACAGAACAGAAAUAGUAUUCAGUACGUGAUGAGUGUCCUGUACACGCAAUGGAAAAGUGCUCCUUGUUGAACAUGUGUUUUUCAUGUGUUUUAACCCACACACAACUGUGAUCGUUUUUUGAACCCAGUUUAGAUUCAGAUACUUGUAGCCAGGUGAACUGGGAGUAGAAUCGAGUAAACGUUAUUGUUUCAUACUCAAUGUGUAUCUGAUAUGAAUAAAACACUUCAUCAAAUUAAAUAACUGAAAAGGGUUAUUAUUGCAGCUUCCACAGACAUCAGUGUAUGGAAUUUGAUUUUUAACAAACUAUAAAUGUCUUUUUUAAAUAGCCUAGUCCUUCAUUCAAAUGUGUAUUUAAAUGUCUGAAAUCUAAAAUAAACUUGAUGUGGUUGAAAACA